rnacentral:tRNA from 1 species
GGGUGGUUGUGACCCAGUGGUAGAGCAUCUGUUUGGCUUACAGAAAGUUCCAGGUUCAAUCCCUGGCAUGUCUA